AGAUUAUUCAGACAACACAAGAUGUUUGCAUCACAAGAAAAUAGGAAAUUGCUUUCAGGGGCAAGGAACUGGUAUAGGCCUACAUCAAGGACAGACUGCAAACUAAAGUCAAUGGGACAAACUUAAGGAUUGGCGGUCUAAAACAGGAUGCUUGAGAGCCAUUGUGAUGAUGACAGAUUUUCAAUAGUCUUUCUAUAUUUUAAAAAUGCUGCACUAUAUUAUUUACAUAUUUUAUUUUUCAGUGCAUAUGUAUCAAGAUGUGAGUAUUUAGUUAUUUAUAAGAGUACUGCACAUUAAGGUGUCAG